AGGCUGAACUCAAAAGGCUGAAAUCCCGAAAGGCUGAAAGUCUCAAAAGGCUGAAAGUAUCAGAAGGCUGAAAUGUAUCGGAAGGCUGAAAUUGAUGGGGUAAAAUGAAUCCCAACCAUACGAUAUAAUGAUGAAUAAAGAAGAAAGAAGAAUAAAAAAAUCAAGAAGAAUAAAGAAUACAGCAUGAUGAAUGGAGAAGAAUAAAGAAUUAAGAAGAAUAAAGAAUGAAAAAGAAUAAAGAAUAAAGAAGAAUAAAGAAUGAAGAAGAAUAAAGAAUGAAGAAGAAUAAAGAAUGAAGAAGAAUAAAGAAUGAAGAAGAAAAAAGAAUAAAAAAUAAAUAAUAAAGAAUAAAGAAAAAGGAUAAAGAUUAAAGAAUAAGGAAUAAGGAAUAAAGAAUAAUAUAUUAUUAUAUAUUAUAGAAAAAAAUGCACAGAGAAUAAGGAAAAAGGAAAGAAGAAGGAAGAAGACGCAAGAAGAGAGAAAGAAGACAGUAGAAGGGGGAAGGAAAAAAGACGAAAGAUUGAAGAAAAAACAUAGAAAAAAGAAGAAGGAAAAAGUAAGAUAAAAAUGGAAGAAUGAAUAAUGAUGAAGCAAGAAGAAAGAAGAAAAAAGGAAGAAAAAAUGGAAGAAGGGAGAGAGAGAAGACGAAAGAAGGAUAAAAGA